rnacentral:rRNA from 1 species
UUCUUAAUGAUAUGAUAUUAAGUAUUCCCUGCUCAAUGAUAUUUAAAUAGCUGCAGAAUUUUAACUGUACUAAGGUAGCAUAAUAAUUUGCCUUUUAAUUGAAGGCUAGAAUAAAUGGGAAAACGAAAAAUCUCUGUCUCUUAUAUUCUUCUAGAACCUUUUAAUAUGAUAAAAAUUUUCAUAAUAACUUAGAAAGACGAUAAGACCCUAUCGAACUUAACUUACGUUUCGCUGGGGUGGCAUUUAAGAAUAAAAUCUUCUUAAUAUUAUUAAAAAUUAGAAAAAACAAGUUACCGUAGGGAUAACAGCAUAAUUUAGUUUUAGAGUUCUUAUCAAAAACUAAGUUUUUGACCUCGAUGUUGAAUAGAAACUCUUUUAAAAGCAAAAAUUUAAAAAGAAAGUCUGUUCGACUUUUAAACUUCUACA